rnacentral:tmRNA from 1 species
GGGGGUGCACCGGUUUCGACUGGUACGGUUCGGGGUACUAGCUGCAGGUGGAGUGCCGAUCUCCUGAUUCGGCAAAAAAUUUAACUGCCAAUAACGACAGUUACGAUUACGCCUUAGCGGCAUAAUCGCGUGGAACCGUUCCGCCGCUCUGAGGAACGU